rnacentral:rRNA from 1 species
UACGUAGGUGGCAAGCGUUGUCCGGAUUUACUGGGCGUAAAGAGCGCGCAGGCGGUCGUUCAAGUCGCGUGUGAAAGCCCCCGGCUCAACUGGGGAGGGUCACGCGAUACUGAUCGACUGGAAGGCAGGAGAGGGUAGUGGAAUUCCCGGUGUAGUGGUGAAAUGCGUAGAUAUCGGGAGGAACACCAGUGGCGAAGGCGACUACCUGGCCUGUUCUUGACGCUGAGGCGCGAAAGCCAGGGGAGCAAACGGG